rnacentral:rRNA from 1 species
CCUACGGGAGGCAGCAGUGGGGAAUAUUGGACAAUGGGGGCAACCCUGAUCCAGCCAUGCCGCGUGUGUGAAGAAGGCCCUCGGGUUGUAAAGCACUUUCAGUGAGGAAGAACGCCUGGUGGUUAAUACCCAUCAGGAAAGACAUCACUCACAGAAGAAGCACCGGCUAACUCCGUGCCAGCAGCCGCGGUAAUGCGGAGGGUGCGAGCGUUAAUCGGAAUUACUGGGCGUAAAGCGCGCGUAGGUGGCUUGAUAAGCCGGUUGUGAAAGCCCCGGGCUCAACCUGGGAACGGCAUCCGGAACUGUCAAGCUAGAGUGCAGGAGAGGAAGGUAGAAUUCCCGGUGUAGCGGUGAAAUGCGUAGAGAUCGGGAGGAAUACCAGUGGCGAAGGCGGCCCUCUGGACUGACACUGACACUGAGGUGCGAAAGCGUGGGUAGCAAACAGGAUUAGAUACCCGAGUAGUC